rnacentral:rRNA from 1 species
GAGGCCCGCCGGCGGUAACGACGGGUAACGGGGAAUCAGGGUUCGAUUCCGGAGAGGGAGCCCGAGAAACGGCUACCACUUCCAAGGAAGGCAGCAGGCGCGCAACUUACCCUAAUCUCGAUUCGAGGAGGUAGUGACAAGAAAUACCGAUGCGGGACCCUACGGGUGCCGCGUUCGGAAUGAGUACGAUUCGAACCACCUAACGAGGAACGAUCGGAGGGCAAGUCUGGUGCCAGCAGCCGCGGUAAUUCCAGCUCCAAUAGCGUACGUUAAAGUUGCUGCAGUUAAAAAGCUCGUAGUUGAACGUUCGGGUUCCGCGGGACGGGGCCGCCCCGCGAGGGACGGCGCCGCCCCGGGGCUCGUGAUAUCUUAUCUCGCCGCCCGUCGCGAGGCGGACGGAGGGGAUGGGAUGAGGUUACCUGGAAAAAAAUCGGGGCGAUCUAGGCGGGCGAACCUCGCCAACGAACGAUCGGACAUGGGAUAACGGAAGAGGGCGUCGGCUCGACUUCGUCGGUUCCUCGGGCCGAGGCACGUACGGUGAAUAGGGACGGUCGGGGCCGCCCGUACCGGGUCGUGAGAGGUGAAAUUCUAGGAUCGACCCC